AUUGAACGCCGGCGGCAGGCUUAACACAUGCAAGUCGAGCGGGGUGAUGGUGCUUGCACUAUCACUUAGCGGCGGACGGGUGAGUAAUGCUUAGGAAUCUGCCUAUUAGUGGGGGACAACAUCUCGAAAGGGAUGCUAAUACCGCAUACGUCCUACGGGAGAAAGCAGGGGAUCACUUGUGACCUUGCGCUAAUAGAUGAGCCUAAGUCGGAUUAGCUAGUUGGUGGGGUAAAGGCCUACCAAGGCGACGAUCUGUAGCGGGUCUGAGAGGAUGAUCCGCCACACUGGGACUGAGACACGGCCCAGACUCCUACGGGAGGCAGCAGCGGGGAAUAUUGGACAAUGGGGGGAACCCUGAUCCAGCCAUGCCGCGUGUGUGAAGAAGGCCUUAUGGUUGUAAAGCACUUUAAGCGAGGAGGAGGCUCUUUUGGUUAAUACCCAAGAUGAGUGGACGUUACUCGCAGAAUAAGCACCGGCUAACUCUGUGCCAGCCGCCGCCGUAAAAC
rnacentral:rRNA from 1 species